rnacentral:tRNA from 1 species
UCGGGGGUGGCGCAAUCGGCAGCGCGGUUGACUGUUAAUCAAUAGGUUGUGGGUUCGAGUCCCACCCCCCGAG